CAAUAGGGAAGGAGAAGUCCUGAGGCGUGAAGGAGGGGCCACCAGGGAAAAAACGAAGGGCCCCUAGGGAAUGAAUGAGAGGUCCUGUAGUACUUUAACGUCUUUGCCACUAUGUGUCUGGAAGUGUACCAAGGCAGAGGCCGUUGAAAAUCCUCCCGGUCAACAGAAGGCAACAAACCCACACCACUGGCAGAGCACCUACUAGGUGGUGGAGCACCUGCUAGGUGGUGAACCUUGCACUGCCUGCCAGGGUAAAAUGGAAGAAGCCAUCCAGGGAGCUCACGUCCUGGAGUCUCCGGAGGAGACUGGACCAUAUUGCCAGAUGGUACCCGGAAGAAUGGAAAGCAGCGUCUCAAAGAGACAUCUCUACACCACGCUCAGAGCACCGUGAUUCACAGUGGCUGAAAGGCAGAAACGAGUCAAGUGUCCAACGACGGAUGAAUGGAGAGGACAAAACGUGACCGAGCCAUACGAUAGAGUAUCACGCAGCCCUAAAAAAGAAGGAAGUUCCAACACACGCUGCGAGGUGGAUGAACGUUGAGGACAUUAUGCGAAGUGAAAUAAACCCGUCACAAAAGGACAAACACUGCAUGACUUCACUCGCAUGAGGUCCCUAGAGUCAUCAAACUCAGAGACGGAAAGCAGAAUGGUGGCUGCAGGCACCGGGGUGGCGGGGGGCGGCGGGGGGCGGCGGGGGAGAAGCCUGGGGAGAUUGUGUUUAAUGUGGACAGGGUUUCAGUUUGGGGAGAUGGAAAAGUUCCGGAGGUGGAUGGUGGGGACGGUUACUUAUGCCUCUCCACCUCACACCAAUGGUUAAAAUGGCAAAUAUUAUGUUAUAUAGAUUUUAAAAAGGAAAUGGAAAAUAAAAAGCACCUCCCCACAUGAGCACAUUGUAUGGUCCCUC